CCCGACUGCUAUCAGAGUGGGACUAAGCCAUGCGAGUCGACGUAGCAAUGCGUGGCGAACGGCUCAGUAACACGUAGUCAACAUGCCCAGGGGACGUGGAUAACCUCGGGAAACUGAGAUUAAACCGCGAUAGGUCAAGAUUUCUGGAAUGGAUCCUGGCCUAAAUCUAUAUGGCCCCUGGAUUGGACUGCGGCCGAUCAGGCUGUUGGUGAGGUAAUGGCCCACCAAACCUAUAACCGGUACGGGCUCUGAGAGGAGAAGCCCGGAGAUGGGCACUGAGACAAGGGCCCAGGCCCUAUGGGGCGCAGCAGGCGCGAAACCUCUGCAAUAGGCGAAAGCCUGACAGGGUUACUCUGAGUGAUUUCCGCUAAGGGGAUCUUUUGGCACCUCUAAAAAUGGUGCAGAAUAAGGGGUGGGCAAGUCUGGUGU
rnacentral:rRNA from 1 species